GGUUAAGCGACUAAGCGUACACGGUGGAUGCCCUGGCAGUCAGAGGCGAUGAAGGACGUGCUAAUCUGCGAUAAGCGUCGGUAAGGUGAUAUGAACCGUUAUAACCGGCGAUUUCCGAAUGGGGAAACCCAGUGUGAUUCGUCACACUAUCAUUAACUGAAUCCAUAGGUUAAUGAGGCGAACCGGGGGAACUGAAACAUCUAAGUACCCCGAGGAAAAGAAAUCAACCGAGAUUCCCCCAGUAGCGGCGAGCGAACGGGGAGCAGCCCAGAGCCUGAAUCAGUGUGUGUGUUAGUGGAAGCGUCUGGAAAGGCGUGCGAUACAGGGUGACAGCCCCGUACACAAAAAUGCACAUAUUGUGAGCUCGAUGAGUAGGGCGGGACACGUGGUAUCCUGUCUGAAUAUGGGGGGACCAUCCUCCAAGGCUAAAUACUCCUGACUGACCGAUAGUGAACCAGUACCGUGAGGGAAAGGCGAAAAGAACCCCGGCGAGGGGAGUGAAAAAGAACCUGAAACCGUGUACGUACAAGCAGUGGGAGCACGCUUAGGCGUGUGACUGCGUACCUUUUGUAUAAUGGGUCAGCGACUUAUAUUCUGUAGCAAGGUUAACCGAAUAGGGGAGCCGAAGGGAAACCGAGUCUUAACUGGGCGUUAAGUUGCAGGGUAUAGACCCGAAACCCGGUGAUCUAGCCAUGGGCAGGUUGAAGGUUGGGUAACACUAACUGGAGGACCGAACCGACUAAUGUUGAAAAAUUAGCGGAUGACUUGUGGCUGGGGGUGAAAGGCCAAUCAAACCGGGAGAUAGCUGGUUCUCCCCGAAAGCUAUUUAGGUAGCGCCUCGUGAAUUCAUCUCCGGGGGUAGAGCACUGUUUCGGCAAGGGGGUCAUCCCGACUUACCAACCCGAUGCAAACUGCGAAUACCGGAGAAUGUUAUCACGGGAGACACACGGCGGGUGCUAACGUCCGUCGUGAAGAGGGAAACAACCCAGACCGCCAGCUAAGGUCCCAAAGUCAUGGUUAAGUGGGAAACGAUGUGGGAAGGCCUAGACAGCCAGGAUGUUGGCUUAGAAGCAGCCAUCAUUUAAAGAAAGCGUAAUAGCUCACUGGUCGAGUCGGCCUGCGCGGAAGAUGUAACGGGGCUAAACCAUGCACCGAAGCUGCGGCAGCGACGCUUAUGCGUUGUUGGGUAGGGGAGCGUUCUGUAAGCCUGCGAAGGUGUGCUGUGAGGCAUGCUGGAGGUAUCAGAAGUGCGAAUGCUGACAUAAGUAACGAUAAAGCGGGUGAAAAGCCCGCUCGCCGGAAGACCAAGGGUUCCUGUCCAACGUUAAUCGGGGCAGGGUGAGUCGACCCCUAAGGCGAGGCCGAAAGGCGUAGUCGAUGGGAAACAGGUUAAUAUUCCUGUACUUGGUGUUACUGCGAAGGGGGGACGGAGAAGGCUAUGUUGGCCGGGCGACGGUUGUCCCGGUUUAAGCGUGUAGGCUGGUUUUCCAGGCAAAUCCGGAAAAUCAAGGCUGAGGCGUGAUGACGAGGCACUACGGUGCUGAAGCAACAAAUGCCCUGCUUCCAGGAAAAGCCUCUAAGCAUCAGGUAACAUCAAAUCGUACCCCAAACCGACACAGGUGGUCAGGUAGAGAAUACCAAGGCGCUUGAGAGAACUCGGGUGAAGGAACUAGGCAAAAUGGUGCCGUAACUUCGGGAGAAGGCACGCUGAUACGUAGGUGAAGUCCCUCGCGGAUGGAGCUGAAAUCAGUCGAAGAUACCAGCUGGCUGCAACUGUUUAUUAAAAACACAGCACUGUGCAAACACGAAAGUGGACGUAUACGGUGUGACGCCUGCCCGGUGCCGGAAGGUUAAUUGAUGGGGUCAGCGCAAGCGAAGCUCUUGAUCGAAGCCCCGGUAAACGGCGGCCGUAACUAUAACGGUCCUAAGGUAGCGAAAUUCCUUGUCGGGUAAGUUCCGACCUGCACGAAUGGCGUAAUGAUGGCCAGGCUGUCUCCACCCGAGACUCAGUGAAAUUGAACUCGCUGUGAAGAUGCAGUGUACCCGCGGCAAGACGGAAAGACCCCGUGAACCUUUACUAUAGCUUGACACUGAACAUUGAGCCUUGAUGUGUAGGAUAGGUGGGAGGCUUUGAAGUGUGGACGCCAGUCUGCAUGGAGCCGACCUUGAAAUACCACCCUUUAAUGUUUGAUGUUCUAACGUGGACCCGUGAUCCGGGUUGCGGACAGUGUCUGGUGGGUAGUUUGACUGGGGCGGUCUCCUCCUAAAGAGUAACGGAGGAGCACGAAGGUUGGCUAAUCCUGGUCGGACAUCAGGAGGUUAGUGCAAUGGCAUAAGCCAGCUUGACUGCGAGCGUGACGGCGCGAGCAGGUGCGAAAGCAGGUCAUAGUGAUCCGGUGGUUCUGAAUGGAAGGGCCAUCGCUCAACGGAUAAAAGGUACUCCGGGGAUAACAGGCUGAUACCGCCCAAGAGUUCAUAUCGACGGCGGUGUUUGGCACCUCGAUGUCGGCUCAUCACAUCCUGGGGCUGAAGUAGGUCCCAAGGGUAUGGCUGUUCGCCAUUUAAAGUGGUACGCGAGCUGGGUUUAGAACGUCGUGAGACAGUUCGGUCCCUAUCUGCCGUGGGCGCUGGAGAACUGAGGGGGGCUGCUCCUAGUACGAGAGGACCGGAGUGGACGCAUCACUGGUGUUCGGGUUGUCAUGCCAAUGGCACUGCCCGGUAGCUAAAUGCGGAAGAGAUAAGUGCUGAAAGCAUCUAAGCACGAAACUUGCCCCGAGAUGAGUUCUCCCUGACUCCUUGAGAGUCCUGAAGGAACGUUGAAGACGACGACGUUGAUAGGCCGGGUGUGUAAGCGCAGCGAUGCGUUGAGCUAACCGGUACUAAUGAACCGUGAGGCUUAACCUU
rnacentral:rRNA from 1 species